GGGGCUCCCGGAACGAUCGCAUCCCUGCCCGGGGGGUGUCAGCGCUCGGCGCCCGCGGAGUGUGGCCAGCGCUCCCGGUGCUGUAGUUGUUGGGGUCCGCGCCGGGCUCUUCUAAGCCCUCAGGGGCAACAUCUUCAGGAACAACUUCUUUGCUGUCUUUGACCUGGGUCCUGAUCUUACACAGAGACUCCAACAAUGUCCCAUUUCAACAAAGCCGAGCAAGAUGACUGGAUGACUGUUUAUCUGAAGUAUCUCUUGUUUGUGUUUAAUUUCUUCUUCUGGGUGGGUGGUGCUGCAGUGAUGGCUGUUGGCAUAUGGACCCUUGUUGAAAAAAGCGACUAUCUGAAUAUCCUGGCGUCUAGCACAUUUGCCGUGUCUGCAUACAUCCUGAUCUUUGCUGGAGGUCUUGUGAUGAUUACAGGUUUUCUGGGAUUCUGUGCAAUCAUCAGGGAACAAAGGAGCUGUCUUUCCGCAUAUUUCUCCAUGCUCCUCUUGAUCUUCCUUAUUGAGCUGGUUGCUGGAGUUCUUGCCUAUGUUUACUAUCAAAGGCUAAGUGAGGAGCUGAAACAGCACCUGACCCAGACCCUGACUGAGAAUUAUGCUCUUCCUGGGAAAACACACAUCACCCAUUCCAUCGAUCGCCUGCAGCAAGACUUCAAAUGCUGUGGCAGCAAUAGCUCCGCUGAUUGGCAGCGCAGUGUCUAUAUCCUGUCUGUAGAGUCCAGUGGCCGAGUGGUACCAGAUAGCUGCUGUAAAACAGUCACCUUCAAAUGUGGGAAGAGGGAUCAUCCAUCUAACAUUUACAAGGUGGAGGGAGGAUGCAUUACUAAACUGGAACAGUUCCUGGCAGAUCACCUUUUGAUAAUGGGAGCUGUUGGCAUAGGAGUAGCUUGCCUUCAGAGCUGUGGGAUGAUUUUUACCUGCUGUCUACACAGAAGAAUUAAAAUGGACUCUUACUGAAGACUAAAAGUCUCCGCUCUCUUUGCCUUAAUGCACAAUCUAGAGAAACAACAUUUCAACGUGUAUCAGUAUUACCUGUGCAUGCUUAAUGGACCAUAUUUAUAGCCUCCUUCUCUGUUCAUGUUGAUAUGCCUUAAAUCGAGAUGAAUUUUAGCAAGUUCACUGCCUGAAACACUUUCCAAUCCACCUUGAAAUAAUUCUUAACUGAGAAGAGAAAAAAAUAUUUUCUAUUGUUUUUUGGUACAAGAUUUUUUUUAAAAAAAAAAAGCGUUACUACUCUUAUGCAGUAUGAUUUGUAAGGACAUUCUUUUGUAGCUCCACAAUCUGUAUUGUUCAGUAACAGUGCAUCUGCUGCAUAUUCAUCCCAGAUUUUCUUAGUUUAACAGAAAUAUCUUCCUGACUAUAGGAUAUUUUAACUUGAGCAACUAGCUUUAUUUUUUUAAAUGAAGGGAUUUUUUAUAUUUCAUAACUAUGUCAACUUUUUGCUGUUUAGUAUUUUUUUUCAAUCUGUGUCUGUCUCCCCCUCCCUCCAGGUCCAAUUGACGCUGCACUGCAGUCACAGCACCUUUUGUAUCAGAUAGAGGGUAACAGACUGGCCCUGCUGCCAGAGCUGCACCAGGAAUAGCCCAGCAGGGGAAAUAUAAGAUGGGUUGGAGCCUCUCCCUGAGAUAGAAGAAACGAGUGGAUGGGACAGAGGAGAUCUGCAGGACAAACCCCAAGAACAGCCAGUUUGGGGAUGAAAGCAGCAUAGACUGAAGUGUGUUUUUCACUGAUAUUUGUUACCAUAAAGUUACAUUCCAGGAAGGAGGUAAGACUCAGAUCUGGGAACUGACAUCAUGUGGGCAGACUGUCAAUUGUAGGAUUGAGGCCUAAAUUUGAACUUUAUAAAAUGUUAGUAUACUCUGUCCAGGCCAAAUUGUGAACAUCACCUGCUUACAGACAGCAACAAGCUUUUCUGUUGAUAAAGUAACUUUUGUGUAAAGGUGUUUUAGAAUUCAUCAGGAUAUUAACUGACUGCUUUAAAAAAAAUUCAAAGUGAGUGGCUUUCAUUUUGUGUUAAAGUCUCGCUAGCUCUCAAAAAGGUACUGCACAAUCGAAAGUACAGCUGGAGAGGAUAUUAAACAAUAUAAAGAACUAAGCCUCAAACUUGUAUACAGUCUAAAGCAGUGGACACAAAUAUGCCUUCCAGUCAGACAUAAAAUGUAGUGGAGGAAAAGCACUUUUGCCCUAUUGUACUUUUAUGAUAUACACAUUAUCAACUUGUUUGGAAUUGUAAUGUAAACAGUCAAUCAGUUAGAAUAACGUAAAAAUGCUGCAUUAAGUUAAUAGCAGAGUCCAGAACUCCAGUAUAACAGCUGUUACGCCAACUUUUGCCUUGUCAGACAACCCCAAUGUAUCUCACAGUGCCUAUUUCUUGCCGUAUUUGACUGAUUGUUAUGCUGUUCUAUGUGGUACUAUAAUCUUUCAGUGAAUAAAGGCAUAGAACGUAAAUCAGAA